GCUUAUACAUGCAAGUCGACGAACUCUGGUAUUGAUUGGUGCUUGCAUCAUGAUUUACAUUUGAGUGAGUGGCGAACUGGUGAGUAACACGUGGGAAACCUGCCCAGAAGCGGGGGAUAACACCUGGAAACAGAUGCUAAUACCGCAUAACAACUUGGACCGCAUGGUCCGAGUUUGAAAGAUGGCUUCGGCUAUCACUUUUGGAUGGUCCCGCGGCGUAUUAGCUAGAUGGUGAGGUAACGGCUCACCAUGGCAAUGAUACGUAGCCGACCUGAGAGGGUAAUCGGCCACAUUGGGACUGAGACACGGCCCAAACUCCUACGGGAGGCAGCAGUAGGGAAUCUUCCACAAUGGACGAAAGUCUGAUGGAGCAACGCCGCGUGAGUGAAGAAGGGUUUCGGCUCGUAAAACUCUGUUGUUAAAGAAGAACAUAUCUGAGAGUAACUGUUCAGGUAUUGACGGUAUUUAACCAGAAAGCCACGGCUAACUACGUGCCAGCAGCCGCGGUAAUACGUAGGUGGCAAGCGUUGUCCGGAUUUAUUGGGCGUAAAGCGAGCGCAGGCGGUUUUUUAAGUCUGAUGUGAAAGCCUUCGGCUCAACCGAAGAAGUGCAUCGGAAACUGGGAAACUUGAGUGCAGAAGAGGACAGUGGAACUCCAUGUGUAGCGGUGAAAUGCGUAGAUAUAUGGAAGAACACCAGUGGCGAAGGCGGCUGUCUGGUCUGUAACUGACGCUGAGGCUCGAAAGUAUGGGUAGCAAACAGGAUUAGAUACCCUGGUAGUCCAUACCGUAACGAUGAAUGCUAAGUGUUGGAGGGUUUCCGCCCUUCAGUGCUGCAGCUAACGCAUUAAGCAUUCCGCCUGGGGGAGUACGGCGCAAGGCUGAAACUCAANGAAUUGACGGGGGCCCGCACCAGCGUGGAGCAUGUGGUUUAUU
rnacentral:rRNA from 2 species